GGCAUAUUUGAUUUCAUAACAGAAGCUUUUGGUUUCUCUAAGAGCCAGGUGAAUGCACACGGGCUUGGAGAAAAAUUUUGAUAAUUAAGUGAACAUCAAACAUAUUCAGAAGAUUGGAAUGGUAAGCAUGCUUAUCUAUAUAUGAUAAUUUGCAUCCACCUGGGUGGGCCUUUCUUAUUAAAAUCUAGAGCAAGAAGGGCAUUUGAUUCAGGAAUACCUAUACAUUUUAAAGUGGAGACUAUUGUCUCUAGGGAUGAUUGAUGCUGGCCUGCUGUGAGUUACAAUGAUUUAGCUUCAAGGCACUAUUUUUGGGAUUAUCUAUGCUCAUAAUUCAUUAGACACUUUUCAUAAAUGCAAACUAAGUAUUUCAUAAAUGUAAACUAAGUAUCAUCAAUAAAUUGCUAUUGGCUCUUCAAUGAUUUCAUAAACCGGGUCAUUCUUGGAUAAUCAUCAAGAGCAUGACAAACUCUACAGGCAGCUUCAAAAUAUGGUAUGUUUUCUACCUGCUUGUGCUUGGAAAAUUUAAGUAGAGAUCCAAAGAUUACCAGGCACAAGUUAGUUUUGUUUUGACUUUCUAUUCCAAUGCACUGUUUUGUUUCUUUGCUAGGUUUCUCAAUAAGCAUCCUACAAUAGAAAGACAACAAAAACAAAAUGGAGGAAUUUGUCUUCUGUUCAAUGCU
rnacentral:misc_RNA from 1 species